UUGCUCUAGUACAGAGUGGGCGCAAUAUAUAUUUUGUAUACGGUGCAACACCAUAUCAUAUUUACUAACCGAUAACUAGACUCUCACCCGAUCUCAAAACCCUAACCUUCGAAGUUUUCUUCUCCCUCUGACCGAGCCUCUAUUUCAUCGAAAGGGAAAAUGAGUAGCCGCGCUAGCAGGACUCUCUAUGUUGGCAAUCUGCCGGGCGAUAUUCGCGAGAGAGAAGUGGAGGAUUUGUUCUACAAGUAUGGUCCCAUAGCACACAUUGAUCUCAAGAUCCCACCAAGGCCUCCGGGUUAUGCAUUUGUUGAGUUUGAAGAGGCUCGAGAUGCAGAAGAUGCAAUUCGUGGUCGUGAUGGCUAUGAUUUUGAUGGGCAUCGUUUACGGGUGGAGCUUGCUCAUGGUGGGCGUGGAUAUUCAUCCUCAGAUCGCCACAGUAGUUACAGUGGUGGUCGUGGACGAGGAGUAUCUAGGCGCUCUGAGUAUCGUGUUUUAGUUACUGGGUUACCAUCAUCUGCUUCAUGGCAAGAUCUUAAGGAUCACAUGCGACGUGCAGGUGAUGUCUGCUUCUCUCAAGUGUUCCGUGAUGGUAGUGGUACCACGGGGAUUGUGGAUUACACAAACUAUGAAGACAUGAAGGCAGCAAUCAAGAAACUUGAUGACUCUGAGUUUAGAAAUGCAUUUUCCCGGGCAUAUGUUCGUGUGAGGGAAUAUGAUUCCAAGAGGGACUUCUCUAGGAGCCCCAGCCGCGGCCGAUCUCAUUCAAGAGGCCAUAGUAAUAGCCGCAGCCGUAGCCGUAGUCGUAGCCGAGGCCGAAGUUCUGGCCGGAGCAGGAGCCGGAGCAAAUCUCCUAAAACCAAAUCUUCACGCGGCUCGCCUAUUAGGUCAAGAUCAAGAUCAAGAUCAAGAUCUGCUUCUCGUUCCCGCUCUGGAUCAAAGCCCCAUUCUUUGUCGAGCGAACUGGGGAUUGGAUAAUAGGAUCUUGAUGGGAUAUGGUUCAGUUCCUGCCUCUUUUUGGGUUGUGGAGGUAUGCUGUUUUUCAGAUGAGCAGCUCUGGAAACCUUCAUGGUGUCUCUUAUCUAAUGUAUUUAGCUUGAUAAAUGUCCAUGGGUGCUAGAUUGGGAACAAAGGAGAUUAUGGCUUGCAAUAGUAAAGCUGGAUUUCUGUGAACUAACUGCUAGUGGAUCUGGAAGUCACCAGCAAUGAGCGGUAGAAACUAUAUCAUUAUCAUUUUCUACUCCAACAAAUGCCAAGCUAAUAGGUCCUGCUAGCUGGACUCAUUGUGGAUUUUGUGGUACAGUGGGGAAGCAUGCUUCUUUUCUGUCCAAUGGCGUCUUGGAAACCUAUUAUAAUUCUUUAGUUGAGAUUUUUUUUUCCCUCCACUUAGGUAUAUUGUUUGGGUGGGAAUUUUAUGAAAUGACCCCGAACCACCCCACCCCCCCCCCACCCCCCCUUUUUUUUUACCAUUUGUUUUCUCUUGAAUUGCUAAAGAUUUAUGUCUCUUCCUUUUAUCCCUUUUGAAUUUGGUAACACUGACGUGGAAGAGGCAUCAAGGCUCUUGGAUGAGAGUUCUUAAAAGGAACGUGUGGAUUUUAAAUUUGGGUUGUUUCUGGAACUUUUGCAGAUCACAUUCAAGAUCAAGGUCUCCACUUCCAUCUCGACAGAAACGCGUGAGUAAGAGUCCAAAAAAACGAAGUGUCAGCCGGAGCCCAAGUGGUAGCAGAAGCAGAAGCAGGAGCAAGAGCUUAUCCCGGUCUCACUCUAGUGCAU